GAGCCAAUGGGAAGGUAGAACUUUUUAAAAUUGGCAAAGAAACUUUCCCUUUGUCUGUUCUCUCUGGGCUGGAUGGUCAGAGCAGCCAUGCUAUAAGCAGCUAAACCAGGCCUCACUUCUGCGCUCGGAAUGACAGAACUGGAAUUCAGCCUUGACACCCCCUCACUUGAGAGAUGACUUGGAUCAAGGAACUUGAUAAGCAGGUCUGGAGGAGAUGGGAAAGGAUCUCUGGGACACAGAAGGGAAAGGCUGCAUGAGCUUAUCUGCAAAUGGUCUGAAGGGACUGAUUUAAAGAGAUAUACUUCUCUUUCUGAGCAAGAGAUCAAGAAACUGGAAAUAAAAUGAGCAAAUCUAGUGAAUUUGAACAUAUAUUCUUCAUAUUAAUUCUUUCUCACAAAACACUAAGAACUAAAGUUAUUAAUAGUUUGGGCUACAGCCACAAAGAGAUUUAGAGGCCUGACACUUUCGGAAGAAGGAAGAAGUGGGAAUGCUAAUAAACUUUCUCCUCUCUCAGCCUUUGAAGCCGUCUCCCAGAGAGAUAUGCAUAUAUAAGUUCAAACUGGAUUCUCCAGAGACCAACAGACAAAAAAAAAAAAAGACUUUUGGGUAAAACUCUUGGUUUUAUAUUGACUCAGGGCCUUCCUCUUGAUCCAGCACAUAAACAGGACCCCUAGUCCACAGAGGAGUGCAAUCUUUAGGGGAGGUUUGGAAGGACUUGAGCUACUGAGGCCCCAUAAGACUGUGUGCUUGUUCUUGGCAGAAGCUCUGAUGAACUUAUAACCAGAAAGAAACCUAUAGGGUGGGGUGAUGCCUGGUAAGCUUAUCAGCAUGUGCGUAGGUUCUUGUUAGUGUUUUUAAUGUCUUUUUUUUUUUUUUUUUGGUAAUGCUUUUUACCUUUAGAAUAAAGCAGGCUUGCUUAGAAAAAACUGUGCGGUAAUUUCUAUCUGUAGCAAUCUCUCUGUUCUCACUCUCUGAGGAGAAGGCAGGCAGGCCUGUUUAGGCAGACUGUCUUCGCUGGGAAAUACACAGAGAAGCAGUAAAUACAGAACAAAUACCGAGGCACAUGUGUAUCUGGUGUUUACACCUCUAUAGAAACAUGAACGCCAUGCAAUUAUGUUUAGAGUUUAUGCAAGCAGUUUAUAUCUAUCAGGCUCUGCUUGCUGCU